CCCGGCGAUACCUCGACAAGAGAGCGAGGUGGUGAAGAAUUCCAAUGAAGGAGACCAGAAUCUUGAAGAUAACGAAGCAGAAGAUUAGGGUAGGCCAAAGCGAAGGAGAAGAAGAAGCCCCUUCACAUCCCAGAGUUUUUUAGGGCAAAGGAAUUAAGUUGAGGGACAUCAAGAAGGGAUCGAUGUGUUGUCAAUGACAUGGAUGAGAAUGAAAUUCUUCAGAUGAUUGAGGUGCCAUAGAUGAUACAAAUCUUGGACGGCAAGCUGGAGCUUCCAAAUCUGAGGAUUUCACAAUUAUUUGUUGGCUUGUAAAACUAUGAAAACAUAGAAAUAGUCAAGCGAUUUUUGGAUAGUAGUAUGAGGCAGAUUAUGGCCUUCUUGUCUUUUGGUGUUCUUAUGGUGUUUCCUCUAAAUUUCUUUUUGCGAAUAUGAAGAACUGGGUGGCAAUGAGCCUGCUGAGAUAAAUAAUGUAGCUGAUGAUGACAACAAUAUAUAAUGAAAAUAUUGAUCAGAAUAUGGCUCCUGAGGCAAAUGAUGCAUCUGAGGAUAGUGAUUGUGAUAGUGAUGGUGAUUUUUCGAAGGAUACAAAAACUGGUGAAGUUGACGAAGUUGAUGGUUGAGAAGAAGUCAGA